rnacentral:piRNA from 1 species
UGAUUUCAGUUUGUCACAAAGGUGAGCACA